CUUUUUCUCUUGUAGUAUUAGUUUGUCUCAGGUAAAAACAUACCUGCAUAUCGGAUAAGUAAUACAGUAAGUGUACAGUAACAUACUGGCUUUCAAGUUAUAAAAUUUAGCAUUAUGCUUUACUUGCUACGGGCUGAGAUUUUAUGUUUUAGUGUGGAUAAACUGUUAGUGGUACUAUACACCUCUUUCGACAAUAUUCAAGGAAAUGCGGUAUAGAAACAGUGAUGUGCCAUAUAUAAUCAAAUGAUUUGCUAUAAAAUCUACUAAAAUAAUAUAAAAUAUAAAGUUUAACAUGAUAGGUUUAUGUUACGAUACUGCAGUGAAAAGAGUGUCUGAAUGUUAAUAUAAUCAGAGGCGGGGUUGAAGGUUGAUCUUAAAACCAAUUGGUCUGAGAGCAAUGUAUGCAUACAAACAUUUUAACAAAAGAAAACACAAAACAUUUAAACAUAAACAAAAUUAACUUAUGAGGAACAUAUUUAGGCUAGCAUAGCAUACCUCUUUAGAGGUUACAUGCGGUAACUUAGACUGUCGUGGAGUGAAUGCAAUUACACUCACUGGAUUCCAUCAAUGGGGUGCAACAGGUCCAGCCUGGCCAAGUGAGUCCUGUGGAAGUCCAAAUGUUGCUAGGAGGACUGCCACUUCUUGAAGAUCCAGAAUGGGAUAAGGCCCCAGGGAGAGUGCGCAGCUUAGCGGACAGGGGACCAUGUAUGAGUGUGGGAUGGAUGAUGCAUGAUUGGCUGUAUGCUACAUGUGGGAGUGUGAGAUGUGAGGAAGUGGGUGGUGACAGAUCAGACUGACCUCAGUGUCACUUAGGAGCCGGGCCAGCAACAAGUUUCUCUGCCUCCUCCUGUUGCUGGGCUUGCUGGAUUUCUGCCUGGGCGACCUGGAUGCUGGAUCCUGGUUUUACAGCCAUCCUGUGUGUCCUCAGGGCUGGUGCUGCUGCAGAC